rnacentral:tRNA from 1 species
CGCGGGAUGGAGCAGUUCGGUAGCUCGUCGGGCUCAUAACCCGAAGGUAGGUGGUUCAAAUCCGCCUCCCGCAA